CCCGAGUUGUAAUUUGUAGAGGAUGCUUUUGGUGAGGUGCCUUCCGAGUUCCCUGGAACGGGACGCCAUAGAGGGUGAGAGCCCCGUCUGGUUGGACGCCGAACCUCUGUAAAGCUCCUUCGACGAGUCGAGUAGUUUGGGAAUGCUGCUCUAAAUGGGAGGUAUAUGUCUUCUAAAGCUAAAUACCGGCCAGAGACCGAUAGCGCACAAGUAGAGUGAUCGAAAGAUGAAAAGAACUUUGAAAAGAGAGUUAAACAGUACGUGAAAUUGUUGAAAGGGAAGCGCUUGUGACCAGACUUGGGCUUGGUUGAUCAUCCGGGGUUCUCCCCGGUGCACUCUUCCGGCCCAGGCCAGCAUCAGUUCGCCCUGGGGGACAAAGGCUUCGGGAACGUGGCUCUCUCCGGGGAGUGUUAUAGCCCGAUGCGUAAUACCCUGUGGCG
rnacentral:rRNA from 1 species